rnacentral:rRNA from 1 species
UACGGGGGGAGCAAGCGUUGUUCGGAUUUACUGGGCGUAAAGGGCGCGUAGGCGGCCAGCACAAGUCAGUUGUGAAAUCUCCGAGCUUAACUCGGAACGGUCAACUGAUACUGUGCGGCUAGAGUGCGGAAGGGGCAACUGGAAUUCUUGGUGUAGCGGUGAAAUGCGUAGAUAUCAGGAGGAACACCAAUGGCGAAGGCAGCACUCUGGGACGUGACUGACGCUGAGACGCGAAAGCGUGGGGAGCAAACAGG